GACGAACGCUGGCGGCGUGCCUAAUACAUGCAAGUCGAACGCAGUGGGGACGGGUGAUUAACACGUGGGUAACCGCCCAUCAGAGGGGAUAACACUUGGAAACAGGUGCUAAAACCGAUACUGAAGGAGGGACUCGCGGUGCAUUAGCUAGUUGUUGAGGUAACGGCCCAACAAGGCCACGAUGCAUACCCGACCUGAGAGGGUGAUCGGCCACACUGGGACGGAGACACGGCCCAGACUCCUACGUGAGGCAGCAGUAGGGAAUCUUCGGCAAUGGACGAAAGUCUGACCGAGCAAUGCCGCGUGAGUGAAGAAGGUUUUCGGAUUGUAAAACUCUGUUGUCAGAGAAGCGGUAUCUAAACAGAAAGCCACGGCUAACUACGUGCCAGCAGCCGCGGUAAUUC
rnacentral:rRNA from 1 species